rnacentral:tRNA from 1 species
GCCGGAGUGGCGGAACGGCAGACGCGGUGGACUCAAAAUCCAUUGCCCCUUGGGGCGUGAGGGUUCGAAUCCCUCCUCCGGCACCA